AUUGAACGCUGGCGGCAUGCUUUACACAUGCAAGUCGAACGGUAACAGGGUGCUUGCACCGCUGACGAGUGGCGAACGGGUGAGUAAUGCGUCGGAACGUGCCGAGUAGUGGGGGAUAACGCAGCGAAAGUUGUGCUAAUACCGCAUACGUACUGAGGUAGAAAGUGGGGGACCUUCGGGCCUCACGCUAUUCGAGCGGCCGACGUCUGAUUAGCUAGUAGGUGCGGUAAAGGCUCACCUAGGCGACGAUCAGUAGCGGGUCUGAGAGGAUGGUCCGCCAAACUGGGACUGAGACACGGCCCAGACUCCUACGGGAGGCAGCAGUGGGGAAUGUUGGACAAUGGGCGAAAGCCUGAUCCAGCCAUGCCGCGUGUCUGAAGAAGGCCUUCGGGUUGUAAAGGACUUUUGUCAGGGAGGAAAUCCCUAGUGCUAAUAACACUGGGGGAUGACAGUACCUGAAGAAUAAGCACCGGCUAACUACGUGCCAGCAGCCGCGGUAA
rnacentral:rRNA from 1 species